GCACAGUUCUCUUGACCUUACACGCAGUAGCGUGGUAAUGAGCCAGAGUUCCUCUGAGUCAAAGAUCGGGUCACAUGUCAGCCCCAAUGACAGUGUUCACUCAUCACUGUUCUUAAUGUUCAAUGAUUCUUGCUGCCCAGACCACAAGGAGACCACAUGUAACACAGGCAGUGUAUCUUCCUGGAGUUAUCAAGAGGAACUCUGCAGCUCCUUAGACACAGCUCAGAGUGUAACUUCCAGAGGCCCCUCCUCUGGGGAUACCAGGAUGGGAGACUCCAUGAUACACGAGGAAGUCAUUUAUGAGGACCUGAACAUCACACAGGAAGAGGCCGUCACACCGGAAGUAACCAAUACUCAGGAUGAGACCAUAACAGAAGAAAGGACCAGGGUCGAUGAUGUGAACAUGACUCACACUGAGGCCGUCAUAGAGGAAAAGAAUAUAAUGGAGGAGGAGGACAUGCAUCGGGAAGCAAAUAUCUCCCUGGAAGUGAGGAGGACCCAGGCAGGGCAUAAGACUCAGGAUGACAGCAUCACAGAGGAGGAGGCCAUCACCCACGGCCAGCCUGAGGUUGCCGUCCAGGCUUCCUCCCCAAUCCUGAGGCGCCACAGGUGGAAGGGGUUCAAGAAAACAAUGGUGAACUGCCUCAGACACCUCUGCUGCUGCUUGCCACCUGCCAGGAGAAGCCACGAUGCCUGUCAGAACCUGGCUCCAAAGAAACGGGAUCCUGGAGUCACCCACAGAAUCAGUUCUGAAGUGGUCAAGGCCCAGCUCCGUGGCUUAUGAGCCACGGGUUGGGGAUCGGCCUGGCUGAGGUGUGGACAAUCCCGCAGGAGAGCGAGGCCAGACAUCCAGGAGGCAGUGUGUCCACAGGCUCCUCCUGCAGAGGAAGAACAGCUGUCCACACCAGCUGAGCUCUCACCAGGCCGUCAUUCACUUUGAGAACUGGAUGCCGAACUCAACACCACUUGCCUCAGCGUGAGGGGAUGAUGGGUGUCCUGAACAUGGAAAAACUGAAACUUUCAAGAGGGGCCAGCAACCUGCUGUAGGCUCUGCCUAGUGCCAGCCACAGUGUGCUCUCUGCCGCUCGGUGGUUGCUUCUUUGUAUUUGACUUUCAACUCUUUGGAAAGACAUUUUUAACCGAAUCUGAGAAGGAAGGAGUGUCUUUUUCUACUCUGAGGUUGCACGAGCACCCCAGAACCCUAUGCUUUCCUAACCACCAUCUACAGCCCUGGGAAAGGAGAUUCCCCAGGAUCCUGUUCUGGCCUCAGCCACUGGACCAGGCUGAGCUGCUCAGACACCCCUGAGGAAGACUUCUCAGGGCACUUUGUCAUGCCUGGGAGGAAGAUCUGACUUGACAUUUUGAUAAUAGUAACAAAACUAUAUUGUUCACCUGCCCCCCAUCCACUGGAACAUGGAGGCCCUGGUGAGCUGCUCUGUCUUAAUCUGGAUCUGAAAAGAAUCACUAUUUCCUGAAGAAGGCCAUGAACAGCAAUCACUAAUACAAACAUAAAAUUGGCAUUGACUGGAGUAGAUACAGAAAUUAUAACUCAGACCUGAAACCUUGAAUCACCCACUUAAAAAGAAACGAAUCACAGAAGUAUGCUAAGGGAGCCCAUUCUGUCUCCAACCCAAGAUGGAAAUUGUCUUUCAUUCCCUGACAGUAGUGCUAAGAUGUCACAUGCACAAUUCCAUCUUAAUUUCUGACAUUUGUUUCUGUCCACAUUGUUUGGUAGGAAUAGUAUUGCCCCAACUCUUUUCUUGUGUUGGCUGUAAAGUUCACACAGAGUCUUGCCCUGUAACUGGGGAGGACUGAGUGCUCUGUGUUGUCCACGCUGGAUUUAUUUCCCUGUGGUGCUGCAGACUCAGUCCUCCUUAGGUGCACUGGAACGCUGCUAGCAUUUGUGGUUUAGUCUCGAUCUCUUCUGUCCCAGGCAGGCCGCUCUGUAGGAAAAGAUGACUUGGAGCAGUAUCUUCGUCUUCUUCUCCAACUCCCCAAGCCAGAAUUUCCGGGUCUGAACCCCUCUGCCCUGUCAAGUAGAAGCAGCUCAGGGCCAGUGUAGGGAGUUCCGGGCUGAGUGUAGCCCAUCACAAAGAACAUGCACAUUUUGAAUAUUUGAAGUCUGAGAUGUGGACACUGGCGCUGGGAGCUGUGUGAAUGAAAAGAUAAGCAGGAAUGGCAGCUUGCUGGCCUGGGAUCAGUGAGACCCUCAUGUGAAAAAUGACCUAUCUUUCUACUGAGAAUCUUUUGAAGGACUGAAAAAAAAGAGCUGUGACCAGACACCACUUUUCUUCUGAAGCUGGUGAGUUGGGACCUGGGUGGGAGGGAGGUAAAGGAAGCUGUCCCCAUCCCAUGCCAUGUCAAGGACACUCAGGUCAGUGUGCAGCAGCCCAGGUCAUCACCUGUGUAGCCAGGUAUCCUUGAAGCCCCGUUCUGAUCAGCAGCCCUCAGGUUGGGCCGGAAUGGAAGGCAGAAGACUCUCCAGUGCAUGUCCACAGCAGCAGCUGAUGACAGUAGGAAGAUGGAGCUUCAACCCCACUGCUUGAAGGUUUAGUGCCCUCGCCCCUGGGGUCUCAUUCCCUCCCAUUUGCCCUUUCUAGGCACUUUGUGGCAGAGCAAGGGUGAAGGAGUAUGCCAAUUCCAGAACUCUGGAGGCUUAGAUUGUAGACUUGCCAUAGACUCAAGGCAAGCCUGGGCUAUAUAAGGCCAGUAGUCUAGCUUUGGCGGCAGUGUGAGAUCUCUCUCUGAAAACAGAAUGUGACCAGGAGGACUAGGGAUCAGUGCGUCCAGCCUGCAGAGUGAUUCUUGGUCUUGGGUUCUUUCCCAGCACAAAUUACAACCAGGUGGAGCUUCCCUGAUAUUGGGGGUAGAGACAAGAGGAUCAGGCAGUCAAGGCCAUCUUCCAAAGCAGAGAGUUUGAGGCCAGUCUAGGAGGAAUGACACUAUGUUCAAUAAGCAAUCCCAACUCCCAAAUCUAAAUGCCCAUAUCUGAGAAAAGAAUGCCAUGGAAGCCCAUCACAACCUCAUAUUCCUGGUGAAUCAGAAUGCCUUUCCCAUGGAGACAUGAAACCAGAGCAUCCAGAGGUGAUUCACAUCUGGAAUUGGCCUGAGCAUUGAGUCAUCGCCUGUGCACUGCACUAAGGAGCUGUUCAGGAAGUACUUCCUACUGGUCAUGUGGGAGGAGUGAGGAGGGAGGCAUGGAGGGCAUGGAGACUCCCUCCUGUGCCAAUGAGAAAGGCAGAAUGCAGCUGGCUCUUGAAGCUGUGAGACACUCUGAUGUUUUGCCGCCCCCUAGUGGCCGCUCUAAGCCUGUUCCCUGUUAGGGCACCUGAUCUGAGGCAGUCCCUGCUUCAACUCAGGACAAGAUUGUGGUGGUUAGGUGGCUUUCAGAACGGGGUCGAGGCAGGCUUACCCUGCUAAACCCAUCUAACAUGCUUUUGUCCUUCCUUCUUUCAUUGCUUUUUCCCAUUUAUGAUUACAGACAAAAUAGCUUUCAGAGUUGGGCUGUCCAGAUGUCCCUGAACAAAUUUCAUAGACCCACUGCUGCUCCUGGACCUGCACUCCACAAUGGAGAUGACUGGGUUGCGAGUAAAGUCAGUAAAAUCCACACCUGGGUGAGAUUCAGAAGCACAGGAGGGCUGGGACCGUGCCUGUCUGUCCACAAUACAGUGCCUGCUUUCGUUGUGAGAUAUGAGUUCUUUCCCCAGAAAGCGAGGGGAAAUCCAGCAGGCUGGCUGAGGCUUCUUACCCCAGCACUUGAGAUGGAGACAGGUGCUUCAACCUUGCUGGACUUGAGCAAGCCUGUGUCCAAAACACAAGGUGUACAGCAUCUCAGAGUUGACAUUUGACGGAAUACAUGUGCUACAUACUUAAAGUUGGAGAAUACACAUGGAUAUAUACAAGCACACAGAUGCACAAGCACACAACUGUAAACAUAUUACAGCUUGGGGCUAUCAAAAGCCAGUGGAGAUGCCCCUGCACUAGAAGAAGACCACCUCCAUCAACUCUACUAGCACCCCCAUAUCAUUGCAUUAUGUUUGUUAAGUUGGAAAUAAAUUGUGUUGUUUAAUGA